rnacentral:rRNA from 1 species
UCAGUUCGGAUUGCAGGCUGCAACUCGCCUGCAUGGGAANCUGGAAUUGCUAGUAAUCGCGGAUCAGCAAGCCGCGGUGAAUACGUUCCCGGGCCUUGUACACACCGCCCGUCACACCAUGAGAGUCGGGAACACCCGAAGUCCGUAGUCUAACCGCAAGGGGGGCGCGGCCGAAGGUGGGUCCGGUAAUUGGGGUGAAGUCGUAACAAGGUACC